rnacentral:sRNA from 1 species
GCUGGGCAAGGUGUUGCAUGCCUGUAAUUCUAGCAACUUCGAAGGCUGAGGCAGGAGGAUACCAAGUUUGAAGUCAGUCUUAGCAACUCAGCAAGACCCUAAGAAACUUAGGAAAAUCCUAUCUCAA